UAGGGCUAGGCCAGGUCAUGCUAGAGCACUGGGCUUUCUGGACUGAGUACUACUAAAAGAAAACAAACCAGAACUUUGUCCAUUUGUAGCAAACCUUACACUACUGCUUCGAACCUUACAGGGCCUGAUGCUGGACGACAGGCAGGAGCACACAACUGUGCACAGCAGGGCUGCUGCCCCUGCCUGCCCUCUGACUCACAGUCAGCCGCCAGCGUCCGAUUCCUUGAUUCCUGGCUUUUCGUUUACAAUAAUUCCUUUAUUCUUUUCUGUAGCUAUGACCACUGUAGAGGGCGGCAUAUAUAAAGGAGACACAACUUCUGCCACUGAGGCUCAACAUUUAUGCUCACCUAAGUACCCAGAGUCUAAAAAGAAAGCGGCAGCAUCAGAAUCAGAGCACUCCUUUGGAAUCCUGAAAGCAGAUUUUGCCAUCCCAGCACUGAGGGAUCCAGAAGAGAUGAAAGACCAACUUUUGAGCGAGAUCCAAGAAGUCUUAAAGCUUAUACUAGGUCACGAGGAAUUCACCCUGAAAUGGAUCGGCUCCGAAGUGAACAAAAAAUAGCAAACCCACUCGCUUUCACUUUCCUUAGGCUCUCUUCCAGGUGGUCUUUAGGGUUUUGUCUUCAGGUUUUUUGUUUUAAAUUCCUAAGAAGCACAAGGUUAGAAAUAACUUCAAAUAUUCUAAGAUGAACAGGCUUACAUGUAGCACAAAAGAAAAGGAUGUAUGAAUGAGCGUCCUUGGAUUUUAUUCGAUGAGGAGGGUAAGCUGAAGAGAGCAGGGCUUGUACAAUGGAGAACAAGACAACUGCUCCCUGAACCAGACAAGAGAAGUGUGUGUGUGUGUGUGUGUGUGUGUGUGUGUGUGUG
rnacentral:lncRNA from 1 species